GCCUACACCACAGCCACAGCAACGCCAGAUCCAAGCCAUGUCUGUGACCCACACCACAGCUCAUGGCAACACCAGAUCCUUAACCCGCUGAGUGAGGCCAGGGAUAGAACCUGCAACCCCACGGUUCCUAGUCGGAUUCGUUUCCGCUAGAGAGGGAGAUGGUGCCAGCCUUGAGAACCCACAGACCUGUGGGACCAGCCCUUGAAUAAUCCCGGGCGGGCAUUGAAGGCAAUUGCAAUUUGAAGAUCCCUGCUUGCUUAGUACAAGUGGAAAAUUACUUCGCAUCUUUUCUGGAUUGCUUUUUGAUCCCGAUUUCAUCAUUCAGAUGUACAGCAGUGCAUUUUCAACGGGUACAAUUUAAUUAGGCUCAAUUUGUAUAACUACAUUAUUAAAGACUCAUUUGGAAAGAGCUUCAUGUCCAAGGUUCACUGGGCUCCACCGUUUGCUUGAAAACACAUUUGGAAUAGAGCCCGCUGACGACCCUGGCUUCUGGAGCGCUCUCCUCCUGCCUCCAGCACACCAGCCUGGCUUGUCAUUUAAUUUCCAUCUCAUUUAAUAGAAUGUCUUUGGACAUCUCUGGGGCUCAGAGCCUCUGACGGGUGUCUCCUGUAAUUACACAGAGAUUCCUCGUAUGCUCCUUCAGUUGGGCAUCAAACAUUCAUGGGGAAUAUUAUUGGAGUGAGGUCCUGAGCCAGGGGCCGGGGACAGGAAUAAAAAGGUACAGCCCUGCAGACGCACACCUGAGAGCCGAGAAGGAGGCGGACAGGGAGGAAAUCCAUGGUCCCUUUUUCAUGCUCAUGAGCAAUCCCGUGGGGUGGGCAGUGAGGGGCCAUCAGCCCCAUUAGGAGAUGAGGAUUGCAAGGCUCAGGGUCCCUAAGUCAAUGCCAGGGUCAGGGCUUAAAGCCAGUUCUCUGGACUGGUUCUGCUUCACCAAGCUCUUUCUUCCCUUGUGGGUGAAGUACAAGGCUAUUUGCCAUGACUGGGGUGACGGCAAUGAAAUGAUCAAGUCAGACCAGGAAACCUGAGCACCUGGGGGAAGACUCCUGGCAGGUGUCAGACCUGGAGGCCCAGAAACCCCCAAGUCAUUGAAUGUGGAGCCGGGAUGGGGCAGGGGAGCAGUGUAUGUGCAGGAGGAUGUAUCAGUCCAGGUUCUACAGAGAAGCACAGCCAGUACGAUGGAUACAUACACAUAGAAGGAGAUUUAUUAUAAGGAAUUGAUUCAUAUAAUUGUGCAGGCUGAGCAGUCCCAAGUACUGUCAUCCGCAAGCUGGAGAGCCCAGGGGAGCCCGUCUCGUAAAUUCUAAUCUGAAACCUGGCAGGCUUGAGACCCAAGGAGAGCAGAGAGAUGUUCCCAUUUAAGUAUGAAGGCAGGAAAAGACUGAUGGCCUAGCUCAGGUCAACCAGGCAGAAGGAGUCCCCUAAAUAGUCUUCUACUUAGGCCUUCAACUGAUUGGAUGAGGCCCACCCGCACUACGGGGGGCACUCUGCUUCACGCAGUCUACCCCUUCAAAUGGGAAUCUCAUCACGAAACCCCCUCACAUGCACACCCAGAAUGUCUGACCGAAGGUCUAGGUCUACCAUGGCCCAAUGGAACUAACACAUAAAAUGAAUCAUCACAGAGGGAGGGAGAGAAGGGAGUCGAAAGACGCUGCUGCUGGUAGACCCGAUGGUGGCAAGGAAGCGAAGGAAGCUCACAUCUCAGUUCAUCCUCACAGCCUCCCUGUGGGAUACGGGUGCCUGUGCCCAUUUUGGAGAUGAGGACAGAGGCUGAGAUAAAUUCUUUUACCCAAGGACACGUAGCUGAUGGCUCCGUGCCUCCUUGUCCCCAGGUAAUAUUUGCCUCUAUGGAGGAAGGGCGAGGACACUGUCCACAGGGCUCCCUCCUAGGUUCUAGCUCUUGUUUUCAGUUGCCUCUUCUGUCCUUCCAGUGCAGUCAGAAUCUGGUUGAAUUGCUGAAUCGCCUGUCUCUAUCCACGGCAAAUUUGGAGGGCAGGUGGCAUCACUGUCAGCACCAUGGUCAAUGAAGUCUCCAAGGUCUCCCAUCAUCCUCUGCUUCAAAGAUGCUAAAAGGCCUGGAGCAGGAUGUAGGACCCCAACUCUGCCUCUGAGUUGCUGUGUGGCCUUGGAUAAAUUUCUUCUUCUCUCUGGGCCCCAGGCUACUCAUCGAUAGAUUAAUAAAGGAGGACUGGAAGAUGUCUAAAGACUAGCAGAACCUUCUGAGGGGUUCUAUGACUCCAAUCUGCAUCUGUCCUUUACUGGAAACCACUUAGCCUCCAGAGCCUCCAAGCCCUAUGGGGCUUCUCUGGCAAAGCUUCCAACCACCAAGCUCUACACCCCUCCCUGAAGGAAAUUGACACUGGGAAGCUCCCAUAAGCAGGGCCAUGGGCAGGGAGGUGUAGGCUCGGGUGUUUUAAGGAGAUGGUUUCACACGUACCCCUGGUUCAACUUCCCAUGUUAUCAUCAGCCUGUGGAGCAUGCUCAGCCUUGACCAGCACACAGCUAAGGACAAGCUCUUCCUCUCUUGCUUCCCCCUAAAGAACAUUCCUGCAUGAAGAAAACCCUAUGCUUCUCCUUUGCUCUUGCACUGCUCUUAUACUCACAAUACACCUGAUACCAGAUGUAUGGGUGUCUUCCCCACUCCAGGAAGAGCAUCUGGGUGUCCUGCCAUUUAACUCAGUUCUGACACUAGCUACCUGGAGAGAGCACCAGGUCUCACAGCCCUAAAGGCUCCGUCCCAGGAAGGCUCCCAUCCUCACCUGCGCCCCCCCAUUUCAGAUGCUAAUCACAAGGAGUAGGUCCCCAGGUCACCCACACCUUCUGUCUGACUUGGCUGCAUAUUGGAGGUCCUUAGGAUCCACUUCCUUUGGAUUCGAUUAUUGCCUAGACCAGAUUACAGAACUCAGGGAAAAUGCUUAUUUAUAUUUACCACUUCAUUAUAUAAUAAAGGAUACGCUAAAGGAUUUGGAUGAACUGCCAGAUGAAGACUGAGGUCUGGCAGAGUCCUGAGUGCACAACCUUCUGUCCCCAUGGAGUUAGGAUGUGUCAUCCUCUCGGUACAUGGAUUUGUUCACCUACCCGGAAAUGCUACACGCGCCAUUCUAUUGGGAUUUGCAUGGAGGCUUCGUCACGUAGGCUUGAUCAUUUAGUACCUCCCUUUCCAAUCCCUCUGCCCCUUGUGGAGAAUGGGGGUGGAGCCGAAAAUGCCAAACUUUUCAUUAUGACUUGGUCUUUUUGGUGACCAGCCCCCAUCAGGAGCCAUCCACGCACCCCCCCAGAGUCACUUCGCUAGAACGAAAUACACUCUUAUCACCCAGGAUUUAGGAGCCCUGUGUCAGGGACUGGAGUCAAAGACCAAUUAUUAGAACAGAAGAUGUUCCCAGUGCUCUUAUCACUAAGUAAAUUACAGGGGUUUUAGGAGCCUUGUGUCAGGACCUGGGACAGAAACCACUAUGUGUAUUUCUUAUUUUUUCACAAUUCCUCAGUCGCUCACCCCCAAGGCACAUCCAGGGCUGGGGAUCAAAAGGAGCUUUAAAAUUACACUUUUGCCUCUGCCCCAGGACCUUUGCACAAGCUAUUCCCCCUCAGCUGGGAAUCCUCACUUUCCACCUGACCAGUUCCUGCUCACAUUUCCAACCUUAAUGUAAAUACCAUCUCCACCAGGAAGCCUUCCUGGAAUUCCCAAACUAGAUUACGGUAUCUUGUAAUAUCCUCCCCUUGUUCCGUAAAUGUCUCCUCCAUAGCUCUUGUCCCAGUUGCAGUCAGAACAACAUGUGUCAGAGCGUUUGUUUAAUCUCCAGUUCUAGAAUGCCAACUCAAUGGGAGCAGCAGCCACAUCUGACCUAUUCAUUUCUGUGUCCCCAGUACUAGCCAAGGGCUGGGGCAUGUAAUAUAUACUCAAUAAAUGUUUGCUGAUGGAUGGGCUGGAUGCUUGAAUGCUUUAGUGCCAUGAGACCUUGGGGAUAAAGAAAAAAAUAAAAAAUGCAGAAUCCACCCGUGUUUUCUGAGCGCUGUAAACACUUAGCCAUCCUGCUGACCACAGAGCAAAAACAUCCAAUCCCACUACUGAAACAAGGGAAGGACAGGUGAGGCUGUUGGCUAUGGGACCCUCACCCUUCUCCCUUCUCCUGCCUCCCUCUCACCUGGCUCCUGCUGUGGGGGUAGCUGGAGAAAGGACUCAUACUAAGAGGGGCUCCUGCCGAGAUUCCCCCACCAGAACCCCUCCCCCAUACUCUGCCAUCCUCUGUGGUUGCUCUGGAAACCACUGUGGCACCAUCAGCGGAGGAUGAGGAUUUCAGGUGGGCUAAUCGGCCCCAGGAAUCAGCUUGGAGACUUAGAGCCUCUGGGUGGUUCCUAUGUAAAUACUCUCAGCGUAGAGAACAGAAGGAAAGACAGUGAAUCCAGGCUGUCCGGAAAUCCACAGAAGCAGCUUUCAUUCCUGAAAAGGGUCUUCUUUUUUCCUCCACCCUUCCCUGACUGUGGCACAUCUCACACACUGCAGGGAGCUGUCAGCGCCACGGAGAGACUGGAGGAAUUAAAAAUAAAAAUUGACUUUCAGAGAACAAAAUCAGACCUGACAACUCAAGUCACUCAAACCAGCCGUGGUUAGAAGAUUGCAAAUAUGUUUGUAGAAAGGGGGUGGCGGCGACGGGCGGGGUGGGAGGGAGGCAGAAUAUUAACUCGGGUAGUCAGUGUGGGAGCCGGGGCUUCGAUGCCUUCUUUGAUAUGGCCAUCGAUUAGCACUUGCGGCUUAAGGGCUCCAGGGAGUAACAUCCCCACAGGCCUUGUUUCCUAUCGAGGGUGUCCCUACGCCCAGAGGGACACUAAUCCCUAAUGCCCUGUGACUCAGUUUACUGGAAAAAAAGGACAAAGAAACUAAGAGACUUAACAGGGACAUUUCCACCCCUAAGACCCUAUUGGACACGGACCGAUAUGGUAAUUGAACAAGGUCAAUGGGAGAAA
rnacentral:lncRNA from 1 species